CCUACGGGUGGCACCAGUGGGGAAUAUUGCACAAUGGGCGCAAGCCUGAUGCAGCCAUGCCGCGUGUAUGAAGAAGGCCUUCGGGUUGUAAAGUACUUUUAGCGGGGAGGAAGGUGCUGUGGUUAAUAACCGCAGCAAUUGACGUUACCCGCAGAAGAAGCACCGGCUAACUCCGUGCCAGCAGCCGCGGUAAUACGGAGGGUGCAAGCGUUAAUCGGAAUUACUGGGCGUAAAGCGCACGCAGGCGGUCUGUCAAGUCGGAUGUGAAAUCCCCGGGCUCAACCUGGGAACUGCGUUCGAAACUGGCAGGCUAGAGUCUUGUAGAGGGGGGUAGAAUUCCAGGUGUAGCGGUGAAAUGCGUAGAGAUCCGGAGGAAUACCGGUGGCGAAGGCGGCCCCCUGGACAAGGACUGACGCUCAGGUGCGAAAGCGUGGGGAGCAAACAGGAUUAGAUACCCGGGUAGUC
rnacentral:rRNA from 1 species